rnacentral:rRNA from 1 species
CCCUUAGAUGUUCUGGGCCGCACGCGCGCUACACUGAUGCAUUCAACGAGCCUAUCCUUGACCGACAGGUCCGGGUAAUCCUUGAAUCUGCAUCGUGACGGGGAUAGAUUAUUGCAAUUAUUAAUCUUCAACGAGGAAUGCCUAGUAGGCGCAAGUCAUCAGCUUGCGUCGAUUACGUCCCUGCCCUUUGUACACACCGCCCGUCGCUCCUACCGAUUGGGUGUGCUGGUGAAAUGUUCGGAUCGGCCGUUUGUCGCGGUUUCCGCGUCAUGUGGCUGAGAAGUUCAUUAAACCCUCCCACCUAGAGGAAGGAGAAGUCGUAACA